AAGACUAUUCUUCACAUGAUCAUUUCUGUAGUAUUAAUAUAUUUAUCUAUUAUUAAAAUCUGAGAGGAUUUCAGCCGUGAUGAUGAGGCAUUAAGCUAGUCCCGGAGCGUGAGAACAAUUUGCGUGUGCUCUGAGUGUACUUGUAGGUUAUCGAUGAUCGUUCUAAAUUGAGAGAGUAUUAGUCUGAACGAU